AUUGAACGCUGGCGGCAUGCCUUACACAUGCAAGUCGAACGGCAGCACGGGUGCUUGCUCCUGGUGGCGAGUGGCGAACGGGUGCGUAAUACAUCGGCACAUGUCCUGUCGUGGGGGUUAGCCCGGCGGAAGGCGGAUUUAUACUGCAUACGAUCUACGGAUGCGAGCGGGGGCACUUGGGCUUUCGCCCUUUCGGGUUGGCCGAUGGCUGUUUCGCUAGUUGGAGGGGUAAGGGCCUACCACGGCGACGAUCAGUAGCGGGCCGAAGAGAACGACCAGCAAAACUGAAACGAAGACACGGCCCAAACCCCUACGGGAGGCAGCAGUGGGAAAUUUUGGACAAGGGGCGAAAGCCUGAUCCAGCAAUGCGGCGGGGGUGAAGAAGGCCUUCGGGUGGUAAAGCACUUUUGUCCGGAAAGAAAGCCUUGGCCCUAAAACGGGCGGGGGAGAACGGUACCGGAGGAAAAGGCACCGGCUAACUACGU
rnacentral:rRNA from 1 species